UACAGAGGGUGCGAGCGUUGUUCGGAAUUACUGGGCGUAAAGCGCGCGCAGGCGGCUUUUUAAGUCCGACGGUGAAAUGCCGGGGCUCAACCCCGUGCCCGCCGCGGAUACUGGGAGCUGGAGACAUGUAGAGGCAAGCGGAAUUCCGGGUGUAGCGGUGGAAUGCGUAGAGAUCCGGAAGAACACCGGAGGCGAAGGCGGCUUGCUGGGCAUGGUCUGACGCUGAGG
rnacentral:rRNA from 1 species